UUUUAUCUUCACUUUCUUCCUCUUCUUCUUCUUUUUGGCUAUUGUACCCACAACGUUCUUUCUUCUUCACUGUUUUUAAUUUCUUUUGAUCGCCAAGGUCUAUCGCUAAUUUUCAAGCAUCCAGCCAAGGGACAUAGCAAUGGAGUACGUAGAGCCUGUUGUUAGAAUUGCAAAUUGUCUCGGAACUCCUGUUUGUAAAUAUUUGCAAUAUCACAGAAAGCUCAAUGGUUAUGUGAGAAACUUCAAGAGGAUCAGAGAUGAAUUGAAUUGCAAAAUGAAAGACAUAGAGCUGCAAUUGAAAGCAGAGCUUCUUCGUCCUCUGGGGAAGAUACCAAAGCAGGGAGUUGAAAAUUGGUUGAAAGAUGUGAAAGAGAUGAUUAGGGAAGCACAAGUUGUUGAAAACAAAGUCAGUAACGGAAGA